AAGUAGAGGUCGCGUUUUUCAUCAGUAGGCCGGUGGAUGUGAACAGGCACAGAGGAUACCGGGAGAAAGGGAAAGACGCCGAAGGGAGGCUUGGCCUGCAUAGAGAUCCCCUGGGCAUAUGGUUAAGAGCUGUAUGACUGUCAUCCAGCCGGAUGGAGCGCUACUUA
rnacentral:ncRNA from 1 species